GACGAACGCUGGCGGCGUGCUUAACACAUGCAAGUCGAACGGAAAGGCCUCUUUCGGGGGGUACUCGAGUGGCGAACGGGUGAGUAACACGUGAGUAACCUGCCCUUGACUUUGGGAUAACUUCAGGAAACUGGGGCUAAUACCGGAUAGGAGCUCCUGCUGCAUGGUGGGGGUUGGAAAGUUUCGGCGGUUGGGGAUGGACUCGCGGCUUAUCAGCUUGUUGGUGGGGUAGUGGCUUACCAAGGCUUUGACCGGUAGCCGGCCUGAGAGGGUGACCGGCCACAUUGGGACUGAGAUACGGCCCAGACUCCUACGGGAGGCAGCAGUGGGGAAUAUUGCACAAUGGGUGGAAGCCUGAUGCAGCAACGCCGUGUGCGGGAUGACGGCCUUCGGUUUGUAAACCGCUUUCGCUCAUGACGAAGCUUUGUGUGACGGUAGUGGGUAAAGAAGCACCGGCUAACUACGUG
rnacentral:rRNA from 1 species